rnacentral:rRNA from 3 species
GUAAGCGCAAGUCAUCAGCUUGCGUUGAUUACGUCCCUGCCCUUUGUACACACCGCCCGUCGCUACUACCGAUUGAAUGGCUCAGUGAGGCGUCCGGACUGGCCCAGGGAGGUGGGCAACUACCACCCAGGGCCGGAAAGCUCUCCAAACUCGGUCAUUUAGAGGAAGUAAAAGUCGUAACAAGGUCUCCGUUGGUGAACCAGCGGAGGGAUCAUUA